rnacentral:SRP_RNA from 17 species
UGGAACGAAAGCACAAGCAGCGCGAGGAGGACCUGAAGCGGAUGGCAGAGUUUGCGGAGGCGGGGUCACUGAGCAAGAUCGCAGCGACCAUGGACCUCCUCUUCCAGCAGGUGGAGAACAUC